rnacentral:lncRNA from 1 species
UGGGUUGAAGGAUGGAAGGUUGGUUGGUUUGACCUGUACUGUGAUCCUCCGUUGUUGUGCGUGAGAGGGACGUGUAUUCUCCUGUCUGGAACUUGCGUACGACUAGCAAAUGGCACGGCGUUCGCUCCUCGCCAUCGGGCGUCAAUCUUGUUCCAUUUUUAGUUUUACCGGCACUUUGUCGUCUUGAUCCAUUUGGAUUCAUUCUG